UACGGGGGGAGCAAGCGUUGUUCGGAUUUACUGGGCGUAAAGGGCGCGUAGGCGGUCAGCACAAGUCAGUUGUGAAAUCUCCGGGCUUAACCCGGAAAGGUCAACUGAUACUGUGCGACUAGAGUGCGGAAGGGGCAACUGGAAUUCUCGGUGUAGCGGUGAGAUGCGUAGAUAUCGAGAGGAACACCUGCGGCGAAGGCGGGUUGCUGGGCCGACACUGACGCUGAGGAGCGAAAGCGUGGGGAGCGAACAGG
rnacentral:rRNA from 1 species